GGGGCUGACCGGCUUUGACAGCGUGACGAACCGACUUGUAAGCAUGUAGUGCGUCGUUGGCCUGGCACUUUAAUCUCAGACAUCACAACUUUUAGUUGGCGCAAAUAAUUUCGCUCUCGCUGCGUAACCGAAGUAUAGUAGGUUAACCGCUUCAUCUCUGCGACAGUCGCGGAGACGAGACGUCGCCCGAUCACUCUUAUCCCGAAACGGAUCGAUAUGGCGGCGCACGUUAGUCGGGGUCAGUCUCGCUAAGCCCUCGGGCGAAGACCGUAUUUAGGGGGAUAGGGGUGAUGCCAUUGGAGGUUACUGACAGGAUAAGCCCCGAAAAAAGCAGGUGUAACUAAACAUGUAGAAAGCAAUUUGUUUCCGCGUUUGGACGAGGGUUCAACUCCCUCCAGCUCCACUA
rfam:Porphyromonas crevioricanis strain COT-253_OH2125 contig_6, whole genome shotgun sequence.